AACGCACCUUGCGCCCGUUGGUAUUCCGACGGGCAUGCCUGUUUGAGUGUCGUGAACAACCUCAACCUUGAUUGGUUUUACCAUCAAGGCUUGGACUUGGGUGUUGCUGCUGCAAAGUGGCUCGCCUUAAAAUCAUUAGCUGGACUUGUCUAUGACUUGGUUCGACUCGAUGUAAUAAGUAUUCAUCGGGGACAGGGUAAAACCUGGCCAAGGCUUGAUGCCGUCUGCUUCUAAUCAUGUUCUCACUAUGAGACGCUACUUUACUGUGUGGCCUCAAAUCAGGUAGGAUUACCCGCUGAACUUAA
rnacentral:misc_RNA from 1 species